CCUCCCCCAAUUUCCUCAAAUUUCUCCAUUUUUUGUCUUUGAUUUCUACAAUUUCAGUUCACGUCGCUUUUAAUUUUCCAUUCUCACUCGAAUUCCUAAAAUAUGUUUGCUUUCAAUCAUCGCAUUUGCAAGAUCUCAGCAAACCCUAUCUUUUAUGCGGCUAAAUCUACCAUUUCGGUUCACUUCGCUUGAUGCGGAAGCUCGACUCAAGGAUAAGAAAUCAAGAGAUUUUACGGCUUAGAGAAGAUCUGAAGGAAGCUCAAGGUUCGAAUGUUGAAAGCUUUAGAGAAAUAUGAUGUCGGAGACUAUUUCCCCAUAUAUGGCAUCUGCUUAGGCUUUGAACUUAUAUCGAUGAUCGUAAGCAAGGAUAAUAAUAUUCUUGAAGCAUUUGUAGCAAGAAAUGAGGCAAGUAGCCUUCAGUUUGUGGACAACACAAAUAUAGAAGGAUUUGUAUUUCAAAGAUGUACAAAGGAAUUGGCCAACUUUAUUUCAUUGGUUUUUCUCUAUAUCAAUGAAGUAGCACUCAUCUAAGAGAGAAUUUCUUUGCACCACAUGGUGAAACCACUCAUUUCUGUUUGGCAUUACUAUAAGAAAGGGACCAUUUUUCCACUAGUGGAAGGACCACACAGUGGACUUGACUUUUGCAUGAUUGGAAAUGUGGUGUAUAUUCAUUUUCAACUUUAGGAUAUAUUAUAGACUAUAGUUAUAUACUAUAUGUUAUUAUGUAUUUAUAAUUUAUGUUAAUAUUUUAUAGGUGAAUGUAAAGUUGAUAGCAUAAACAUUUUAGUGGCAUGGUAUCAAGUAUGAACUAGUUUGAGGUAAACACUAUAAAAAGUGUGUUUGAAAACACAGAUAGAGGAUGAAUAAGGAACUUACUUGAGAAAGAUCAACAUGUUUGGCAUCAUCAGCAGUUGGAUUAUUAGUGAUAGCACCACCACUGAAUUAAUCAUGCACUUCUUUUUGAUAACUUUGAUUUCAUGAUUUCUUAUCCUCUAUUUUUUCUCUCUGUCGGUAUGUGGUGGACCACUUUGCUACUAUAAUUAGUAUUAUUGGAUUAUAAUGUUCAUUGAUGGAGAGAAGAAGUUUCAAACAAAGGAUCAAGGGCCAGGUGAUUUGUACUUCAAGUGUGGGGUUUAUGCUGCACCUACUCAUAUAAGUAACUACAUGGAAUCAAGGUGGAGAGAU